rnacentral:rRNA from 1 species
CGGCGAGUGAAGAGGAAAGAGCUCAAAGUUGGAACCUGCUUGGCUUAGCCAAGCCGGAUUGUAAACUGUAGAAGUGUUUUCCUGACACGCCAGGCAAAAAAGUCCUUUGGAACAGGGCAUCAUAGAGGGUGAGAAUCCCGUCUUUGGCCUGAGCAGUUGUCUUUUGCGAUACACUUUCAAAGAGUCAGGUUGUUUGGGAAUGCAGCCUAAAUUGGGUGGUAAAUCUCACCUAAAGCUAAAUAUUGGCGAGAGACCGAUAGCGAACAAGUACCGUGAGGGAAAGAUGAAAAGAACUUUGAAAAGAGAGUUAAACAGUAUGUGAAAUUGUUAAAAGGGAACCGUUUGGAGCCAGACUGGCUUGGCUGUAAUCAAUCUGGGCUUUUGCCCGGAUGCACUUGCGGCCUAUGCCUGCCAACGACAGUUUUAUUUGGGGGAAAAAACCAGGAGGAAUGUGGCCCCUUUGCGGGGGUGUUAUAGCCUCUUGGAAAAUACCCUGGAUUGGACUGAGGAUCGCAGCGAAUGCCUUUAGGCGAGAUUGCGGYGUGCUUUUGCUGAUAAAUGCUAGAAUUUCUGCUUCGGGUGGUGCUAGUGUUUAAAGGUGGAACUCGCGCUGUAUAUUUUUAUUCGCUUAGGUUGUUGGCU